AGCAGCCGCGGUAAUUCCAGCUCCAAUAGCGUAUAUUAAAGUUGUUGCAGUUAAAAAGCUCGUAGUUGAAUUUCGGGGUCAGUAGGUCGGUCGUGCCACAGGUAUGUACUGGUCUCACUGGUUCCUCCUUCCUGAUGAACCGUAAUGCCAUUAAUUUGGUGUUGCGGGGAAACUGGACUGUUACUUUGAAAAAUUAGAGUGUUUAAAGCAGGCUAACGCUUGAAUACAUUAGCAUGGAAUAAUGAAAUAGGACGUUUGAUCUUAUUUUGUUGGUUUUCUAGGAUUGACGUAAUGAUUAAUAGGGAUAGUUGGGGGCAUUAGUAUUCAAUUGUCAGAGGUGAAACUCUUGGAUUUAUUGAAGACUAACUACUGCGAAAGCAUUUGCCAAGGAUGUUUUCAUUAAUCAAGAACGAAAGUUAGGGGAUCGAAGACGAUCAGAUACC
rnacentral:rRNA from 1 species